AAUGCACAAGGUGUAAAGAAGAAAUCUUCAUAAAGCAAGAAAAGCAAGCCUUGUGUACGAAGCCUUCAUUAUUGGUUCGCUGGCUGUCUAGCAACAUAGAGACACGUGUCGCGAGGACAGCAC